UACGUAGGGUGCGAGCGUUAAUCGGAAUUACUGGGCGUAAAGCGUGCGCAGGCGGUUCGUGAUGUCUGGUGUGAAAGCCCCGGGCUUAACCUGGGAAUUGCAUUGGAAACUAGCGGGCUGGAGUGUGGCAGAGGGGGGGUGGAAUUCCACGUGUAGCAGUGAAAUGCGUAGAGAUCAGGAAGAACACCCGUGGCGAAGGCGGCCCACUGGGCCGGACCUGACGCUGAGGCGCGAAGGCGUGGGGAGCGAACGGG
rnacentral:rRNA from 1 species